CUUCCGUUCACUGACUGUAUUUCAGAAACGUUUAAGGAUUUACUUCACCACUCUUUGUUUAUGAAUUGUGACUGCUAAAUAGCAGAAGGUUGGUGUGGAGUUUUGUAACUAAAGGAUUUCUGCGUGCACUGGAAUACAUCAGCCAAAAAUGAGGAACUGUUGAGAACCUUCAGGUAACUUUGGAGCCGUACCACGUGUGGAUGCCUCCACUCCCUUGCUGGAUGAUUCCAUCUCUGUGAUGAAAGGGUUAUCCGGCAGCCGCAGCCACCACCACGUGGUGACGUGUGACCCCUCUUUUGAGUCCAUGGGUCACCACUUGGACCA